rnacentral:sRNA from 2 species
AGGUCUCAAUAAGCUCUUCAAUUAAUAUGCAAAGCAGGAUGGAGGUUGCCGAACUCCAUCGGGAGGCGCAAAUAAGAGUUUUGAACAUUUUAUUAUAUUUUAUUUGAUUUGGUUGAAGUUGAAUUAUUUCUCACAACUUGAGAGUUAUGUGACCGCGUUCGCUGGCAAUUACCAGGACUAGUAUUACUUUUACGCGGAAAUAUGACCGUGUUCAAACCCCAACCCCACCCUCACAAAGGAAGCCAGAAUAGGGGCGAAAGAGAGCUACGAGGUUAAAACUCGCUGCAUAUGCUAGGUAUGGAGUAUUGGGGAUAGGUCGCAG